AUGGAAGACGCGUUUACCUCCAACCCAGCCCCACCCAACGUUAUCGAGCUUCCGGAUGAUGAUGAAGAUGUGGCCCCUAGGCCCAGAAAGAACAAAAAAGUAGCAGCUGGUAAGACGUCUCAGCAGGGACCGAUGACAACAUCAACCGUCCAGCAAUCUGAAGAUGCAGGUGGGGCCUCUAUAACUUUUGCUGUCCCAUUGUCGAGUGAGGGCCCCGCACCGUCGAUUGUACCGGUGUUUCCUUCAGUCGUCCAACCUCACGCUUCGGAGCUCCAAGAUGCCGCACCUGGGUCAUCUGCUCCCUUCUUCACCAACUACCAUGUUCCGGAAAGCCAUUCAGACACGGCUGCGGAGGCCAUCCGUCAGGCUAACGUAUGA
rnacentral:rRNA from 1 species